rnacentral:misc_RNA from 1 species
UAAAAGUCGUAACAAGGUUUCCGUAGGUGAACCUGCGGAAGGAUCAUUAAAAAAUUGGACUCCAUUGGUGAGUCCAUUAAUAAUCCCUACCCUUUGUGAAUUUGUUUGUUUGAAUAAUCUUUUUUCCAAAAAAAAUUAUUGAAUGUCUUUCCUUGUUUUGGUGGAGCUUGUAAUGUGAAACCAGGCAGGGGAAUGGCAAACAAUAAUUAUUUUUGAAAAAGACCUUUUUUUAAAAUUAAACUUUUUGUAUUCAUUUGUCUAAAAUUAAUUUUUAUAAUAUAAAAACAACUUUUGACAAUGGAUCUCUUGGUUCUCGCAACGAUGAAGAACGCAGCAAAAUGCGAUAAGUAGUGUGAAUUGCAGAAUACGUGAAUCAUCGAAUCUUCGAACGCAUAUUGCACUUUUUUAGUUUACUAAAAAAGUAUGUCUGUUUGAGUAUCAGUAAAAUAUUCUCAUAAAAAACAUUGUUUUUUUUAUGGUUAUGAGUGUUUUACAACGAUAGCAAGUUGUUUCACUUUAAAUUCUUUGUUAUCAAAAAAAUCAUUAAAAGCUAAUUUUAAAGAUUUUUUAAAAUUGGAUAAAAUUUUCCCGUAAAAAGGAAUAACCUAAACAAUUUUAAAAAAUUAAAAUUGGUUUGAUUUUUUUUGAAACCCAAAGGAAAAAAAGACGAAAUUAACCUGAUCUCAAAUCAGAUAAGAGUACCCGCUGAACUUAAGCAUAUCAAUAAGCGGAGGAAAAGAAACUAACUAGGAUUCCCUCAGUAACGGCGAGUGAAGCGGGAAGAGCUCAAAUUUGAAAUCUUCAAGGUUUUACCUUGACGAAUUGUAGUUUAAAGAAGUGUUUUCUGUUGGAGUUUUGGUAAAAGUUCUUUGGAAAAGGACAUCAUAGAGGGUGAGAAUCCCGUAUUUGGCCAUUAUCUCCAGCUUUGUGAUACACUUUCAAAGAGUCGGAUUGUUUGGGAAUGCAGUCCAAAAUGGGUGGUAAAUUUCAUCUAAAGCUAAAUACUGGCGAGAGGCCGAUAGCGAACAAGUACCGUGAGGGAAAGAUGAAAAGAACUUUGAAAAGAGAGUUAAACAGUACGUGAAAUUGUCAAAAGGGAAGCGUUUGACACCAGUGUUGUUUUCUCGAAAAUCAAUUAAAAAAGGCCGGAUUUUGUGUUGUGUUGACUUUAUCAGCUUUCUGCACUCUUUUCUUGUCUUUUUUAAUGCACUUUUCGUUUAACAAGUCAACAUCAAUUUCUUUUGUUGUAAAAGGGUCAUUGGAAGGUGGCUUUCUUUUCGGAGAAAGUGUUUAUAGCCUUUGGCCUCUGCAAUCGGGGAGAUUGAGGUCUGCAGCGUAGAUCCUUCGGGGUAGAUACAUUUGUGCUAAGUUGUAGCCUUUCAUAGACAACUUGUUGACUAUGAUCAGUCAUGUAGCUUACUCGCUUAUGCUAUUUUACCUACGCUUAGGAUGUUGAG